rnacentral:lncRNA from 1 species
CUGCGCUGCUCCAGCUCCACGUGCGCCCGGGGAUGCAAUGCAGCCCUGCAGACAAGCGUCUCCGGCAGGACGUGGGCCGCGGGUCUCGGAGCCUCCUUCACUUAGACAGGGUCUCGCUAUGUUGUUCAGGCUGCCCUCAAACUCCUGGACUGAAACGAUCCUCUCAUCUCAGCCUCCAAAAGUGCUGGCAUUACAGGUAUGAGUCACUGUGCCCCACUAAGAUGAGUGUUUUCUAUUGUUUAAUUAAUUUAUGUUUUGAGACAGAGUUUCACUCUGUUGCCCAGGCUGGAGUGCAGUGGCACGAUUUCAGCUCACUGCAACCUCUGCCUCCCAGGGUUCAAGCAAUUCUCCUGUCUCAGCCUCCCGAGUAGCUGGGACUGCAGGCCUGCAC